CGGUCCUUUUCUGAUAUUUCGUUUUGUCCGUGACAUGGUCACCCGAAGCGUAACAAUGACCCAUAUAUACAGCCGCGCUCUUGACUACGUAAAAUCUCAUGACGUCAUAUCAGGUGACCGAGGCCGAUGCAGAACCUAAAUGAACAAGGAGACAAGCGAUAAGUAUGUAUUAGUACAUAAGGGAGAUAACUGAUGUGGUCUUGGAGCCCAUGUAAACAUUACACCGUGGUUUACGACUAUGCCAUGUAGUGUAUAUAUAUGUGUAGGGUAGUAUUUGAUGCAUGACUGCGUUUCUAAAAUUGUUAUAACCCAAAAGGGUAUCCGGCUUUUUUUGUGGUCGCGUGAUUCCCUUCCGUUUCCCGGGCCAGGCAAAGGUGUGUCGGGUGUGCACGAGGGGUCGAUCGGAUCUGUUUUCUGCGGUGAGAAUUUAGGACGCGGCCCAUAUACACAGGCCCAAGAAGGACAAAUGCAAACAGUGAAAUUUAUAACUCGGGGAAGCAAACGCCCUGUCUGAUGUCAACUGAGUGAUAAAGCUCACAGGUCAUAACCUGGAUCCGAGGCAAAGACUUUCUUGGAACAGUUACCCUGUGCCCUUCGUCGUUCGAAAUCUGAAUGAAAUCAUACAGACACACAACUCACAGCUCACACACAGUAACUGCGGUACCUUAGAUGACCGGUCCACCCAAAUCACCUGUAACCACGAAGAGGAACUCGUGAAGCACGCCUCGUAGCGACCAGCCAGGCAGAUAGCGCCACUAUCAGGUAUUAGAGGAACUCCAUGCUGUCCAUAUCGAUGGUUGGGAAAGCCUUAUCCCCGAUGACGACGUCGGAACAUGCUUCAGAUGCCUACAAAGACGCUGUCGCCUUUAUUGGGCAGCUGCGUAACAAUGAGGAGAAGCUUAUUGAGAGAGCCAAACUUUUUCUCAAGAAGGACAGAGACUACUGCAAACGCGUCUUU